rnacentral:misc_RNA from 1 species
GAUGGUGUUUUACCCUGAACAACAGAUUGUAUUAUCUCCUCGUCAUCUUCCGAUAAUGCUGGCAUAAUUAUUGGCGCAGGCUUCUCCGUUUGGGACAAAGCUGCCUUGGCAGGUUGCUGUGGAACCAUUGGGGCAAUUUUUCGAACAGGUGGUGGAGGCACAACGCAGCCAAGAGUAGUUGCAGCAGCACAUGGUCCCCGGCGGCUAUCUUCCUCAAUAAUUAGCUGCUCAGCAUUCUCAUCCUCAAUAUCCCAUGAAUCACUAUUCGACCUGGACACAAACGACUGAACAAACCCAAUCCCAAAGAAACCAAGAAGAUAAAUGACAGAAGCAAUUAACGAAACAAUAGCACCCAAUUCAGAAAGCGUAACGACAUGUAAAGGAGUGGAAUUCCU